rnacentral:rRNA from 1 species
AAGUCGUAACAAGGUCUCCGUAGGUGAACCUGCGGAGGGAUCAUUUACCGAGAGAGGGCGCCCGCGCGCCCGACCUCCCAACCCUCUGUCGACCGUACCGCGUUGCCUCGGGGCGCCUCGCGGCGUCGCGCCGAGGACACCACAUCGGAGCAACUCUGACACUGCGUCCUUGCGUCGGAGUCAUUGAAUCAAUCAAUCAAAACUUUCAACAACGGAUCUCUUGGUUCUGGCAUCGAUGAAGAACGCAGCGAAAAUGCGAUAAGUAAUGUGAAUUGCAGAAUUCAGUGAAUCAUCGAAUCUUUGAACGCACAUUGCGCCCCCUGGCAUUCCGGGGGGCAUGCCCGUUCGAGCGUCAUUACACCACUCAAGCCUGGCUUGGUAUUGGGCGUCGGGAUGCACCCGCGCCUCCUAUGUGUCCGGCUGGACGGUCUGAAUCUCAGCGUUGUGAAUCAAUUCGCUGGCGGGGACGACCGGACGCGCCGUUAAAACGUUUCAUCACAGGUUGACCUCGGAUCGGGUAGGGAUACCCGCUGAACUUAA